AUGUUUCGAAGUUUUUUAUUUUCAGAAAUAAUAUGUAAGGAGCAAUCAAAUUAUGGCGUACUAACUAAAUUAUUAAUCUGUGUGCAGAUUAUAGUUCCUGCUCUAGUUAAUGUUACAUGGUGCUCGUAUUUCCUUGACAUGAUGCUAAAAUGUGUGCAUGUUGCUGACCCAAUGUAUGUACGGUCAAAUGAAAUUGAACUAAAGAAGAUGCAUGAAUCAAACGUCAAGAAAAUUCUAUGUGCAAUGACAAAAGUAGUGAAAGAGCUUUACUCUGGAUGGGAAGUUGAUUUUACCACAUGGGACACCAAUUACUUGAAGCCUAUAAUUGACGGUGCUAGCAGGUACUAUUGCUAA
rnacentral:rRNA from 1 species